AUGUGCCCCCCCAGCCCCCUGGGCUGCGAGCUGGUCAAGGAGCCGGGCUGCGGCUGCUGCAUGACCUGCGCCCUGGCCGAGGGGCAGUCGUGCGGCGUCUACACCGAGCGCUGCGCCCAGGGGCUGCGGUGCCUCCCCCGGCAGGACGAGGAGAAGCCGCUGCACGCCCUGCUGCACGGCCGCGGGGUUUGCCUCAACGAAAAGAGCUACCGCGAGCAAGUCAAGAUCGAGAGAGACUCCCGUGAGCACGAGGAGCCCACCACCUCUGAGAUGGCCGAGGAGACCUACUCCCCCAAGAUCUUCCGGCCCAAACACACCCGCAUCUCCGAGCUGAAGGCUGAAGCAGUGAAGAAGGACCGCAGAAAGAAGCUGACCCAGUCCAAGUUUGUCGGGGGAGCCGAGAACACUGCCCACCCCCGGGUCAUCUCUGCACCUGAGAUGAGACAGGAGUCUGAGCAGGUACAUCUCAGGGAUUCCCUCAUUCCCUCCCGGCUUUUGACCUUUUCCUGUAUCUAAAUGGACAUUCAUGGCGGCAGGAGGUGCUUAGGCUAG
rnacentral:sRNA from 1 species